rnacentral:rRNA from 1 species
UACGGAGGGUGCGAGCGUUGUCCGGAAUCACUGGGCGUAAAGGGCGCGUAGGCGGCCUGAUAAGUAGGGGGUGAAAUCCUGCGGCUUAACCGCAGGGCUGCCUUCUAAACUGUCAGGCUAGAGCACAGUAGAGGCAGGUGGAAUUCCCGGUGUAGCGGUGGAAUGCGUAGAUAUCCGGAGGAACACCGGUGGCGAAGGCGGCUUCCUGGACCGACACUGACGCUGAGGCGCGAAAGCUAGGGGAGCAAACAGG